CAUAUGAAAUAGCAAAGCAUGGCAAACCAUGUGACGCAAAGCUACAGGGUCUAAAUAUAACGUUUGAAAAUGAGUAACUCUCUAAAGAGCCUUUAGACGAUUAUUUAUCAUCGUUAUGUAAGAUCGCCAGCUACCAAA
rnacentral:ncRNA from 1 species